CAGUCGCCGCGGUAAUACGAAGGGGGCUAGCGUUGCUCGGAAUGACUGGGCGUAAAGGGCGCGUAGGCGGCGGCCAAAGUCAGGCGUGAAAUUCCCGGGCUCAACCUGGGGGCUGCGUUUGAUACUUGGUUGCUUGAGUGGGGAAGAGGGUCGUGGAAUUCCCAGUGUAGAGGUGAAAUUCGUAGAUAUUGGGAAGAACACCGGUGGCGAAGGCGGCGACCUGGUCCUUUACUGACGCUGAGGCGCGAAAGCGUGGGGAGCAAACAGGAUUAGAUACCCCUGUAGUCCCUGUCUCUUAUAA
rnacentral:rRNA from 1 species